rnacentral:lncRNA from 1 species
UCUCCGCCUCGCCGCCGACAGCCCCUCCCAGCCCGCCUGCCCGCCCUCCUUCCGGCUGUUUUUGUUUGUCUGUCUUUCCCGAGAAGCACGAACAGGGAAAGGCUCAUGAGACUGUACUCUGUGAGGGUGGAAACCGGUCUGAACCAUCCCUGUAACUGCUGAGCCCCGGGACCUGCCGCACACUAGCUGAGGGUGAUGGACCCUGCCGCUGUGCACAAAGUCCACACAGAGGACUUCCCGAGGCAAAGUCCCACCUUUAUGACAUAUCUGUCCUGGGUCUGGAGCACCAUGCUUUGUGAGAUUAUAAUAGAGAGGCAUGUCGAUGAAUAAUAGGCGUGUGACAGGUUGGUGUGGGCUGGCAGGGAGCUGCCUCCCGACUGCCCUGCUCGCGCUGCUGUGGGGCUCCCCCGAUACAGGUCAUGGGUCUGACUGGAGUGCCAUUUCCUAACCACUCUUCUGUUCAUCUAGACAUGAUGCUACGUCCAUCCUAAGAGUCAUAUGUGUUCUUUGGUUAUCCUAGAAGCCACUGUGGUAUCCCAGGGCCUUGACACAGCCACUGACAGAAAAAUGAUGAAUAAAAAUAAUACGCGUGAACUGCUGUUAUUCCUGCAUUCCAGAAUUCAAACUGCACCAUAUUCAAAGGAUGCUAAGCUGACAUAAUGGAAGUCUGGAGCUGCCUGUGACCAAGGUUUCCCCUGUGUAGAAGCCUACUGUCGGAAAAAAUGAGGCCAGCACACAGAGACUGAGAGGAGUGGAGAAAGAGAGCUGGGUUGGGAGGAGAAGAAAAGGAUCUUGAUGGUGAUCACGUCCUUGGUUCUAGUGCUUAAAGUCCCCAGGGUCCUGCAACUCUCUGAGUUCCUUCUAGGACAUUCAAUUUUGGGA